rnacentral:SRP_RNA from 1 species
GCCAGGCAUGGUAGCACAUGCCUGUAGUUUCAGCUACUUGGGAGGCUGAGGCAGGAGGAUUGCUUGAGCCCAGGAAGUUGAGGCUGCAGUGAGCCAUGACUGCACCACUGCACUCCAGCCUGGGCAAUAGAGCAAGAUCCCGUCUCAA